rnacentral:misc_RNA from 1 species
GCUUCUGCACGUCUGCUGAAAUUCUCCAUCUUGUGCAUUUCCUCUUUACCUCGCUCAUCAACGUUGUUUCGUAUUUCUUCGUUGUACAAAUUGGCUGAUUAAGUUAGUUAAAUUCUCUCUAGAGGUUCACAAUGGGCCAUUCUCGGUCUAGGAGUAAAUCCCCCCGCAGCAAAUCUCCUUCGCGGAGACACAAAAGCAAGCAUUCGAGAAAGAGGUCCAAAUCACGGGACAGAGUGAAAACAUCACAUAGUAAACACUCAAGGAAAUCUAGAGAAAGAAGUGCCAAGCCAAGCCACAAACAUGCACGGUCUGGGUCUUCAUCAAGUAGUUCAUCAUCUUCAGAUGAAUUCAAAAUGCACACAAAGAAACGCAAGAUGGAUGAGGUUGAACGAUUGGCAGAAAUGGAAAGGCAAAGAAAUUCUUUGAUUGUCUCUCACAGGCGGCAGCGGGAGAUGGAGCAACGCCUAGUUGAAGAAGAGACUGCAAAACGUAUAGAGGAAAUGGUUAAAAAACGUGUAGAAGAAGAAUUAGAAAAAAGGAAAGAGGAAAUAGAGCAAGAAGUUUUAAGAAGAAUAGAGGAGGCCAAACGAGAAAUGGAGAAGGAGAUGAUGGAGGAGAUGGAGAGACGUCGCCAGGUGCUACUAGAAGAGGAAAAGAAAAGACAGAUACGGGAUACAACUUUUUUGCAUGCAUGCAUUGGAGCAUGCGCUCACUGGUUUGCGGAACUCAGGGAACACAACAAGCAGAUUGAAGGCUUAGUUCGGCUAAAGUGCUUUGCAGCAGAGUCUUACAGCUGAGGAAGACUGAGGACUUAAAGCAGCCAGACAUGCUGCGGGUUUGGUGGUCCUCGUCUGCACCAUCAAGGCAGGUUGCUUGUGGCUUUUAGUGUCAGCCACGUGAAGUUUACGCUGACUCUUGUGGAAGAGGAAGAAAAGAAACGAGAAGCCCUGGAGCAGAUCAUGGCAGAAAAUAAUCGGAAAAUUGAAGAAGCACAACGAAAAUU